AUAGCAAGUGCCAAUGAUAAGCUGCAUAGGCCUCUUUUGGCAAGACUUUAGUCUGUCACCCUUGGGUUAAGAAUGAAUAAGCCGGGUGUGGUGGUGCAUGCCUAUUGUCACAGUUACUCGGGAGGCUGAGGCAGGAGGAUCACUUGAGCCCAGGAGUUCUGGACUAUGGUGUGCUAUGCCGAUCGGGUGUCUGCAAUAAGUUAGGCACCAAAUAGUGAACUCCUGGGAGCAUGGGACUACCAGGUUACCUAAGGAGGGGUGAAUUGGCUCAGAUCAGACAUGGAGCAGGUAAAAACUGCCCUGCUAAUCAGUAGAGGGAUCGCACCUGUGCAUAGUCACUGCAUGCCAGCCUGGGCAGCACAGCAACACCCCACCUCCAAAACACGACAAGAAAAGAACGAAUAAACAAAAAAAAGAAGCAUGGUAACAAAUAUAACUUAUUUUUUUCAGGAGCCAGAGGAAAAUUUCAGAAAAAUUGUGUAGUAUAUUAAAAGUGAUGUAAAGAAGACAUGAUUUUUGAAAAAUGGAGCAGAAAGCCCAAAGAGAAAUCAUGCUUCAAUGAAAAUCAAGAUAAGAUGCAGACAAGUUGAGAAGAAAAGGGAUCUGGAGAGACAAGAAGGAAAUGCAGACAUGCCCUGUCCUCUUCCUCCUCCCUGAGCCCUAGGUCCUGAGGAAAGAAAGGCAGCUACAGAGCAGUUUCUCCGGCCCUACAUGUGGCAUGAAAGCAGCAGAGACAGGCUGCUUGAAGAGCCUCUUCCCACCCUUGGCACUGUGCAAGAUGCAUGGCACGACCCCAGGAUGCAGAAAGCAUAGGAAUAACUAAGAAUAAAUUUUAUGCCAAACCUGCAGAAAGGCACUCUGGAUCAGAAAUGAAGUUGCAUUCCUGAACUUGCCAUUGUCUUAGAGGGGCUAAUGCAAUUUAAAUCAGUGAUUGGAGAACAGACCAGAAAACUUCCCAAAUGUGGAGGACAUUGGACAAGAAAACUGAUUAGAGAAAUGAUAAAUAUGAAAAAGAGAAUAGUGAUCCAAUUAUAAGAUAUUGCAAAGCUCAGAACUUGGUAAAAAUCACCUGAACAUGCAGGCUUGUUCAUGGAGAGAUUAUGGAUCAGAAGCAAGAGCCCAAGAGGCUGGAGGAGGCGCACUGCUGCAGGCUUGGAGGGGCCGCUCCAGCUGGCUGGGGGCUCCCCGGACCUGCGCUGGCUGCCGCAGCAGAGCUUCGGCUUGAAGGGAUCCAGGGCAAGUGCGCGGGCUUCGUGGCAUCGCGCCGAGUCCUUCAGCGUCGGCGCCAGCUCCAGCCAAGCAUCCUAUGCCCGCGCGGUGCAAGACCAGGCGGGCGGCGCUCCCUUCCUGCCUCUAUCACCUGCCGGGCAGGUGGGAGAGCAAACUCCCCCUUGCGCCCUAGCUCCCGGAAAUGUACAGAGACAAGAUAAUAAGCGGUAGAAGAAUAGAAAUAACAUCAUAAUUAACCUAG
rnacentral:lncRNA from 1 species